rnacentral:rRNA from 1 species
UACGAAGGGGGCUAGCGUUGUUCGGAAUUACUGGGCGUAAAGCGCGCGCAGGCGGUCUUCCAAGUCAGUGGUGAAAGCCCGGAGCUCAACUCCGGAACUGCCAUUGAAACUGUGAGACUUGAGGAUGAGAGAGGUGAGUGGAAUUCCCAGUGUAGAGGUGAAAUUCGUAGAUAUUCGCAAGAACACCAGUGGCGAAGGCGGCUCACUGGCCCGAUACUGACGCUGAGGCAUGAAAGCGUGGGGAGCAAACAGG